rnacentral:tRNA from 1 species
GCGCCUGUUGUCCAAGACCUGGUAAGACAUCAGCCUGCCACGCUGAAUAUCCGGGUUCAAAUCCCGGCAGGCGCA